UACGUAGGGGGCUAGCGUUGUCCGGAAUCAUUGGGCGUAAAGAGCGUGUAGGCGGUCCGGUAAGUCCGUUGUGAAAGUCAGGGGCUCAACCCUUGAAUGCCGGCGGAUACUGUCGGGCUAGAGUCCGGAAGAGGCAAGUGGAAUUCCCGGUGUAGCGGUGAAAUGCGCAGAUAUCGGGAGGAACACCAAUGGCGAAGGCAGCUCGCUGGGACGGUACUGACGCUGAGGCGCGAAAGCGUGGGGAGCAAACAGG
rnacentral:rRNA from 1 species